AGCCGAGCUAUGAACACAAAGCGAACUAUUCUUUCGCCUUUUACUAAAGAAUACCGUGUGUUCGUAGCAUCAAUCGGCAUACGCCAAUUUUUGUAGAGUUUUCUCCACUGGAGAAGAC
rnacentral:snRNA from 1 species